rnacentral:rRNA from 1 species
UACGUAGGGUGCGAGCGUUGUCCGGAAUUAUUGGGCGUAAAGGGCGCGUAGGCGGCCAUGCGUGUCUUCCGUGAAAUCCCUCGGCUUAACUGAGGACGUGCGGAAGAAACUGCAAGGCUUGAGUCCGGGAGAGGGGGGUGGAAUUCCCAGUGUAGCGGUGAAAUGCGUAGAUAUGACAUAGAACACCAAUUGCGAAGGCAGCUCACUACACAAAUAUUGACGCUGAGGCACGAAAGCGUGGGGAUCAAACAGG